GAAAUGCGAUAAGUAAUGUGAAUUGCAGAAUUCAGUGAAUCAUCGAAUCUUUGAACGCACAUUGCGCCCGCCAGUAUUCUGGCGGGCAUGCCUGUUCGAGCGUCAUUACAACCCUCAGGCCUCCGGGCCUGGCGUUGGGGAUCGGCGGAAGCCCCCUGCGGGCACAACGCCGUCCCCCAAAUACAGUGGCGGUCCCGCCGCAGCUUCCAUUGCGUAGUAGCUAACACCUCGCAACUGGAGAGCGGCGCGGCCACGCCGUAAAACACCCAACUUCUGAAUGUUGACCUCGAAUCAGGUAGGAAUACCCGCUGAACUUAAGC
rnacentral:misc_RNA from 1 species